GAUAACCCAAGUGCCCUGGGGCAGGGGUACUCGGCAUGGUUCCUCCUCUGAAGAGCGGGUGUGGAAACCUCAACUGCUCCCGAGAAGUGCUUGGUUUGGGGACAGCUGCUGCUAGGACAUGGGGGAUGUGACUUGGUCAGGGUGUGAGAGGGGCGUCUGGCUGGAGGAGAGUUCCUGUGCUCUGAAAUGCCACUUGGGAACUCUGGAGAUUGAAGGACAAUUUACUUCAAGGGUGUCUGGUUUCUACCACUGCUGGAAAAAAAUUCGGUUUAUAGCAUUCCUGCACCUCACAAGUAGAUCGCCUGGAGGUCAUUAGUUAAUAGCUGUCCGUGAGGACUCUGCUUUCAGGGAGAAUUUAUCUGGGAAAAGCCUUAGCCUGCUCUGAGCCAUUAGCAGGGGCUGGCGAACUGGAAUGCGGGGGCUCUUGUAACUGGCGUAUGUCUGAGGGCAUGAGACCCAUCUACACAAGGGGAGCUGGGACUUGCCUCCAGCUGCUCCAAGUGCUGACUGGCCCUGGGAGGAGGCUGUGCUCUGGAGAAGCAGGGGUGGCUCUUUUUUUGGCCUUGCCUGGCUGCCUCUAGAAAGAGCAGUCAGUCCUUUAGGGAGGCAUCCGAUUGAAUACCAGACACCUUGCAGUGAACUUCAAUUGGAGAUCAGCUUCCUGAAAAAAAUGUGAGUCCUUUGCCUGGUUGUUCCAUCUCAUCUCAUUCCUUGGACUUUGACAGAUAUCCUGCCCUGUGUUUUAUUCCUGUGUGUUAACCUCAUCAGGGAAGCAGAAUGGAGGAGCAAGAAAGUCUGCCCUUUGCCAUGCCAAACAGCUCUCGGCCCUGUGAACUACUAAUUAAUGAUUCCUCAAGGCCGAAAGGUUAAUUUCCUUGGGAGGAGAACUUAGCCUCUUAGUAUCCACACCAGUCUCAACUCUGGUUUCUCAAGAUCUGUCACGUUGGCCUACUAACUUGAUGUCUUUCUCCCUCCCACUGAAGGAUCGUCCAGCGUUUUUAGAUUGUAGAAUUAUCUCUUGCUUUGUUACUUUGGGAAUUUUGAAUUUCUUUGGUUUUGUUUUUAAGAAGUAACCUAAAAUUUCCUACAACACUAAAUAAAAUGGUA
rnacentral:lncRNA from 1 species